rnacentral:lncRNA from 1 species
AUGGAGUGCAGAUGCAACAGUUGGGUAACUAGUGUGCAGGCAUACACGGGCAACAUUGCGGACACUGUUCAGGAAGCGAGAAUGCAGAGUUUCCUUGGUGAUGUCAAGCACUUCAGGGUUGUAGAUGCUGCCAUCAAACACCCGCUGAUGAUCAGCCCAGAGGAGAAGGGGGAGGUGUUCAGCAAUGUGGCUUCACUGGCUCCCACUUUGUCUCCAGUCUUAAUGAGCUGCACAUCACUCAGGAUUUCAAUUGCGCCCCUGGAGAUUUUAGUGGUGAUGCCUAAAGCCUGGAAAAAGGAGGUCUUCUUGGGCCCCAGACCAGUGUUCUGGGCAAGCACAGUGACUUCACACAGGGCUAUGGCAGCAGCAUGGGCAGCAGCUGGCACCUUACUGGCCAGAAGCAUGUCCUGAACUCAGUGAGGUCCUCCUUGGUGAAUACAAAGCCCAUGUUCCCCCGGAUGUGAGGCAACCGUUUCUCCAGGACUGGGUGGUUUUCGGAUGGCCUUGCAUGUGCAUCAUGGUGUUCUUGCCCGUCAGCACCACGGCCUUCCCGCGGAGGGACAUGUGGAUCUGCUGCAUCUGAUUGGAGCCCACAUUGUCUGCUCCCACAAUGAAGCAUUUCAGAUAAUCAUCCAGAAGUUGGAUUAUCUUAAGGAAGCAGUUGGACUUCCGGGUUGCCCCGUCUUCCCUGGGCAUCACGGCAGUGCGUCCGGAAUUGCCACGCAGGGUUUAAAGAUGAUGUCACUCACACGAGGACGCCUGGUGAGAGCUUAAAUUUCACUUGAGGAUAUCCCAGGAAUGGAAUUGGAUCUCAGGAUGGAUGAAUGUUUAACAUUUUUUUUUUUCCUUUUUAAGUCUGCACCCAUGGCAUAUGGAGGUUCCCAGGCUAGGGGUUGAAUCAGAGCUGUAGCGGCUGGCCCAAGCCACAGCCAUGACAAUGCAGGAUCUGAGCUGUGUCUGCAACCUACACUCAUGGCAAUGCCGGAUCCUUAACCCACUGAGCCAGGCCAGGGAUUGAACCCAUGUCCUCAUGGAUGCUAUUCGGAUUCUUUAACUGCUGAGCCACAGUGAGAACUCCUGAAUGUUUAACAUUUUAUGAAACUGCCAAACUGUUUCCAAAGUAGUUGUACUGUUUCAUGGUCCCACCAGAAUUGUAUGAGAGUGUUAGUGAUCCCACAUGUUUACCACCAUUUAGUGAUCACAGUCCUUAGAGCUUAGGCAUUCUAGUGUUAGUGAUAUCUCACUGUAGUUUUAAAAAAUAGCUUUAUUACGACAUAGUUCAGGGACUUCCUUUCAUGGCUCAGUGGUUAAUGAACCUGCCCAGGAUCCAUAAGGAUGUGGGUUCCAUCCCUGGCCUCACUCAAUGGGUUAAUGAUCUGGCAUUGCCGUGAGCUGCAGUGUAGGUCGUAGACACAGCUCUGAUCCCUCGUUGCUGUGGCUAUUGUAUAGGCUAGCAGCUACAGCUCCGAUUCAACCCCUAGCCUGGGAACAUCCAUAUGCUGCAUGUGUAGACCUAAAAACACACACACACACACAAAAAAGUAUAGUUCACAUGGGAGUUCCCACUGUGGCUCAAUGGGUUAAGAACCUGACUAGUAUCCAUGGAGAAUGCGGGUUCAUUCCCUGGCCCCACUCAGUGGGUUAAGGAUCUGGUGUUGCCAUGAGCUGCAGUGUAGGUCACAGAUACAGUGCAGCCCUAAAAAGGAAAAAAAAGAAAGAAAAUGAACCUCAGGUUUUUAUGAUGGCUUUAUUUAUUUAUUUAUUUUUGUCUUUUUGUCUUUUUAGGGCUGCACUUGCAGCAUACAGAGGUUCCCAGGCUAGGGGUAGAAUUGGAACUAUAGCUGCUGGUCUAGGCCAACAGCCACAGUAACGCCAGAUCCGAGCCUCAUCUGCGACCUACGCCACAGCUCAUGGCAAUGCCAGAUCCUUAACCCACUGAGGAAGGCCAGGGAUCGAACCUGCGUCAUCAUAAAUGCCAGUCAGGUUUGUUAACUGCUGAGCAACGACGGGAACUCCUAUGACGACUUUUUUUUUUUUUUUUUUUUUUUUUUUUUUUGUCUUUUUGCCUUUUCUAGGGCCGCUUCCCAUGGCAUAUGGAGGUUCCCAGGCUGGGGGUCAAAUCGGAGCCGUAGCCACCGGCCUACGCCAGAGCCACAGCAACUUGGGAUCAGAGCCGCAUCUGCGACCUACACCACAGCUCACGGCAACGCCGGAUCCUGCACCCGCUGAGCCAGCCCAGGGAUUGAACCCAAAACCUCAUGGUUCCUAGUUGGAAUCGUUAACCACUCCACUACGACGGGAACUCCCCUAUGACGAUUUUUUUAAAAAAAAAUUAUUUUUUCCACAUACGAAAGUACACAUAAUCAUUAUAGAAAAAAUUACCAAAAAAAGCAAAAAAAAAAAAAAAAAAAAGGAUAUAGUUCACAUACCAUACAACUUAUCCAUUGAAAUUGUACAAUUUGGUGGCUUUUGGUAUAUUCACAAAGUUGUAUGUCCAAAAACACUAUCAAUUUUAGAACGUUUUCAUUAUCCCUAAAAGAAUCCCUGUACCCCUCAGCAAUCACAACCCCCCAACACACACAACCUCUGGAUUGCCCACUCCAAGCCUUAGGCAACUACUAAUCUGCUUUUGUUUCUAUAGAUUUCACGAUUCUGGACAGUUCAUAUAAGCAUCAUACAACAUGUGGUUUUUGUUGAGUGGUAUCUUUCACUUAGUGUAUUUUCAAGUUUUUUUUAUGUCAUGGUGAAUACCAGCCCUUCAUUCUUUUUCUUUUCUUUUUUUUUUAACUGCUGAAUAAUAUUUCUCUUGUAAAAACAUUCUACAUCUUAUUUAUCCAUUAGUUGGCUGAUAGGCAUUUAGGUAGUUUCCACUUUUGGCUGUGAUGACUGAAGCUGCUAAGAAUAUCUGCACACAAGUUUUUGUGUGGGCAUAUAUUUUCAUUUCUCUUGGUUGUGAAAUGGCUGGAUUAAGUGGUAACUCCAUGUUUAAUCUGUUGUGCUGCCAAACCCUUUUAGAAAAGUGGCUGUACCAUUUUACAUUUCCAGCAGCAGUGUUCCAAUUUCUCCAUAUCCUCACCAACAACCUACUAUCUGUCUUGUUGAUACAGCUACCCUAAUAGGUAUCAAGUACCUAUUAGGUACUGCUAUGGCUGUGCUGCAGCUGUGGUGUAGGCCAGCAGCUGCAGUUCCGAUAUGACCCCUAGCCUAAGAGCUUCCACAUGCCAGGGGUGCGGCCCUAAUAAAAAAAAAAAAUAGUUCCUUUUGGUAUCA